rnacentral:tRNA from 1 species
GUGUUGCUGCAGCUCGGUUUCAAGCUGCGCGUUACGUUGGCGCAGGGUUGCGAUUUCCUCGCGCAGGGCGAGCAUCUCGUUCAGAGGCAUG